rnacentral:misc_RNA from 1 species
AGGCACCAAAUGGGUGUUUAGAAAUAAAUUAGAUGAAGAUGGAAACAUAACUAGGAAUACAGCUAGGUUAGUAGCCUAAGGCUAUAACCAAGAGGAAGGCAUUGACUAUGAUGAAACUUUUGCCCCUGUCGCUAGAUUAGAAGCCAUUAGAAUUUUGCUUACAUAUGCAUUAAACAUGAAAUUUAAACUCUUUCAAAUGGAUGUUAAAAGUGCUUUU